GUCCACGCCCUAAACGAUGUCUACUAGUUGUUGGGUCUUAAUUGACUUAGUAACGCAGCUAACGCGUGAAGUAGACCGCCUGGGGAGUACGGUCGCAAGAUUAAAACUCAAAGGAAUUUACGGGGACCCGCACAAGCGGUGGAUGAUGUGGAUUAAUUCGAUGCAACGCGAAAAACCUUACCUACCCUUGACAUGUACGGAAUCCCUGAGAGAUUAGGGAGUGCUCGAAAGAGAACCGUAACACAGGUGCUGCAUGGCUGUCGU
rnacentral:rRNA from 1 species